UGAAGAAUGUCUUUGUCUUUGAAGAAUGUCUCUAUGUCUUUGGUGAAGACCUCAGGGUUCCUUGGCAACUCAUUUUCAUUUGUUCUCUUCUCAUUUGAUCAUAUUUAAUGCAAUUCUUCUGGAAUGGGAAGAGGAAGAAUAAAAGAAAAAGAAAAGAGCAAAAAAAAAAAAAGAUCUGUGAUUCCUUAGGUGAAAAGGGAGAUUGAAGGUAUUCUCCUUUUGUGCUCUUUGCAUUAUUCAAUGUUUCCUCAAUUUCUUUGUAUUCUUCAUACUUAUCCAUCUUAAUUUCAUUAUAACUUUUCAUUACAUUGUACUUUUUCUGUUGUUUUGCAGUCCUGAAUGAUUCUUUUUGUUCCCAGUUUGACUUUUCUUGUCAAAUAUUCUGUAGUGGUUUGCCAUUUCCUUCUCCGGUUGAUUUUACAGGUGAGGAAGCUGAGGUAAGCAGAUUGAAGUGACUUGCCUACGGUCACAUAGCUAGUGUCUGAGCACAGAUAUGAACUUGGGAAGAAGAUGAUUCUUCCUGACUCCAGGCCUUUCAUUCUAUCCAAUGGGCCAUCUAGCUGUCUCCCUUUACAUUAGUAGAUCGCAGUUUAUUUAUCCAUCCCACUAAUGGAAAUUUAAAUGGUUUCUAGGUUUUGUUUUGUUGUGUUUUUGCAAUUACAUGUGUCAUGAACCUCACUUUACAAGAACUAUAUAUCUUUAUUGAAAGGCAUUAUGCUAUAAUGAAUAAUGCAUGGCUCUCCCUUUCUAUUGACAGAAUGGACUAGGUUCCCUUCUCACCUCUGGCACAUAAUGACUUCAUGAUACUGAACAAAUCACUGAAGCACUUGGGAAUACAAGAGUUUUGACACCAGGAAAAAAUCUUCCAAAACAUUUGGAAUUGUUCACAAAUUAAAUAAGCUUCCUAAAAGGAUUCCACAUAUCAUUCUCCUGCCUGCCUUGCUAUUACCUAUUAGUCACAGAGGAGCUGAUAAGAAUCAUUCCAAGAUCCGAUCCAUGGCAUUUACUUGGCAGCAGCUGUCAAGACUAGAAGAACUUUUCAAAUGUGCUACUAUUACCUGGAAUGCUGGUGCAUCACCUUAGGAUGUCCAGGAUUGCUUUCUUUCUUUGCUGAUGCCUUUUUGAGGAACAAUAUUUUCAAAGAUUUAAACUUAAUAUAGUAUUCCUGCAAAAGUUCAUGACCACAAGGAGAAACUCAUUCAUCAUUACUUACUAUGUGACGCUAUCAUAAAACAAGUUUAGAGCAGGCUUCGGAUUUUAGAAGACACCUGCAGGUUUUUCUAAAAUUGGAAAGAAGGGAUUGGGAAUCAGCAGAGGAACCUCUCACCCUCAUACUGAGGCAAUGUAGUAGUCAUAUCUGGCCCAGUGAAACGUAGGUCAGUCACAGUAAAGGAAACAGAACAUAUUUGUAAUGCUGUCAUUUUGUACUAAGAAUGUGUGUCAGAGCUGCAAUGAAGGCUUGGUUAUUUUUUAAACUAUA
rnacentral:lncRNA from 1 species